UACGGAGGGUGCAAGCGUUAUCCGGAUUCACUGGGUUUAAAGGGUGCGUAGGUGGGCAGGUAAGUCCGUGGUGAAAUCUCUGAGCUUAACUCAGAAACUGCCGUGGAUACUAUUUGUCUUGAAUGUUGUGGAGGUGAGCGGAAUAUGUCAUGUAGCGGUGAAAUGCUUAGAUAUGACAUAGAACACCAAUUGCGAAGGCAGCUCACUACACAAUUAUUUGACGCUGAGGCACGAAAGCGUGGGGAUCAAACAGG
rnacentral:rRNA from 1 species